rnacentral:rRNA from 1 species
AGCAGCCGCGGUAAUUCCAGCUCCAAUAGCGUAUAUUAAAGUUGUUGCAGUUAAAAAGCUCGUAGUUGAAUUUCGGGGUCAGUAGGUUGGUCAUGCCACUGGUAUGUACUGGUCUCACUGAUUCCUCCUUCCUGAUGAACUGUAAUGCCAUUAAUUUGGUGUUGCAGGGAAUCUAGGACUGUUACUUUAGAAAAAAUUAGAGUGUUUAAAGCAGGCUAACGCCUGAAUACAUUAGCAUGGAAUAAUGAAAUAGGACGUUCGAUCCUAUUUUGUGGUUUCUAGGAUUGACGUAAUGAUUAAUAGGGAUAGUUGGGGGCAUUAGUAUUCAAUUGUCAGGAGGUGAAAUUCUUGGAUUUAUUGAAGACUAACUACUGCGAAAGCAUUUGCCAAGGAUGUU